GCGCGAUUAGCUCAGUUGGUUAGAGCACUGUUCUUAUACAGCAGGGGUCGGGGGUUCGAGUCCCUCCGCGCCCACAA
rnacentral:tRNA from 1 species